AAGGGAGGGCCCACUGAGAACCAUCCCAGCAACCUGACCACAGCUGGUCUUCCCUGGACACCAUGAGCCAUACUGUCCAAUCCUUCUUCACUCCCGCCAACACCGACCGUCCACCCAACUAUGAGAUGCUGAGGGAAGAGCACGAGGUGGCUGCGCUGGGGGCGCCCCACAACCCAGCUCCCCUGACAUCCACCGUGAUCCACAUCCACAGCGAGACCUCUGUGCCCGACCACGUCAUCUGGUCCCUGCUCAACACCUUCUUCAUGAACUCCUGCUGCCUGGGCUUCAUAGCAUUUGCCUACUCUGUGAAGUCUCAGGACAGGAAGAUAGUUGGUGACCUGACCAGGGCCCAGGCCGAUGCCUCCACCGCCAAAUGCCUGAACAUCUGGGCCCUGAUCAUGGGCAUCAUCAUGACCAUUCUGCUGAUCAUCAUCCCAAUACUGAUUCUGCAAGCCUAUCAAGAGAUCGAGAGGAAUCAUCCAGGCCAGGGGCUCUGCCCGUGACCUGUUUCCCAUACUCCAGCUUCCAUUCCUCGCCCUGCCCCGAGCCAAGUCCUGUAUCAGCACUUUGUCCUCACACGCUUUUCUACAUUGGUGUUCAAUAAAGUGCACGUGUUCCUGAUAAAA